UGCUAAUUAGAAUAACAUACUAAUAGAUUAGCCUCAUGUUAACGUGAAAUUCCACUGAAAUCAAUUGCAUAUCAAAUCUCCUGAGUGGAAUACGUUGUGCACCGUUUACAGGCAGAGGAAUGCACACGCAUGCGUCAUGGUACUGUCGUGAACGCACGUUGAAGACUGACACGAAAGAGAAGAAAUUUUUGAAUCAAGUCAUUAUUUUUGUUUUCUUUGCGCACUAUAAGUAUUCUUGUAGAUUCAUAACAUCACGGUUGAACCACUGAUGUCACAUGGAUUAUUUUAAUGAUGUCUUUACUACCUUUCUGGGCCUUGAACGGUUUAGUUGCGUUGCUGUCUGUGGAGGGUCAGAAAGCUCUCAGAUUUCAUCAAAAUUAACUUAAUUUGUGCUGAGAGGGUUUGGCGCCACGGUAUCUUUGUUUCCAGGCAGAAUGCUAAAGAACACAACACACAUGUCUCCCGGAAAUCCUGUAUAAUUCAACCAAUCCGAUGACAACUUCGACAUUCCUGAACGGUCCGAUGGUGACGUCUGAGGCUGAGACUAGGAUGUCAGUAAUCAAAGACUAAACAGUUCACUCCUAUUGCUUAUGAACGGGAGAAACUGCAACAGGCAAUAUGGCGAAAUAUGUGCCUCUAAAUGAAAGAGCCAAUCACUGAUUGGUAAAGUCAUUGUGUCACUGGCAGCUGAUCUGAAAUAUGUAAUUUAAUAUUUGAGAUUUCAGGAUUCCCCCAUUCAUUGUCUUGGAUGAGCUGCCCGGAGGCGUUGCAAAUAUGGCCGCCGAGUGAACAGAAUUUCCUUGAAAGAGACUUUGAUAUAAUGGCCUUCAUAUCCUCAUCAGUCAACAUAAAAAUGUCAUUCACAAUUCACUCUACUUUGUAAAGUGUCUUCUCCGGUGAAAUGGAGAAUAUAAUAUACAACAAAGCUUUAUUUAUCCUUUAGUAACUGACUGGAUCAUAAAAAAGUGGGUGUUCCAAAGAAAAAUGGAGCCAGUUUUGAAGGAGAGUUUCCCAAAUAGCUGUCUGGCUAUUGGCUAACAUUAUGACUGGCUCACUGACUGCCAAGAAAAAAUGUAAUGAAAUCAGUGUGCUUAUAUAAGCUUCAGACAAUUAUAGCCCCCUGGUGCCUCAGAUAAGACUCAGGGUGGUAUUUUCCUAACCUGUUUAUAGUAAAAGCAUGCUAUCAAGUGUAGUUGCUGGAUCCAUAGCUGGGCAAAUGGAAACACUGAAGAUUACAAGCUGCUCCAGGGAAUUAUCCAGAAAACCUGGCAUGAACAUAGGUCACAAGCCAGGGGGCCAAUAGAGGAGAAUAUAGAAAAUUGCCAUAGUUUUGUUGAACAGGGAAAUCCAUAGUAAAAUUCUUUCCAAGAAAGGGAUGUACAUUUCUAGGAGAUUGAACCUAAAGCCAUAAAUAAAAUGUGCUUCAAAUGUCUGUUAUUAAACCAAACGUGUUAUUAUUAAAAUGUGUUCUAUUUUUGUCCCCACAAAAAGUGUAUGCUUUUAAGACACUGG
ensembl:lncRNA